UUCGUCAUGCGACCAGCUCCUUGCGAACCCCCCCAGGGCAGAAAUGCAGCAAGGGCAGUAGGUUGAGCGGUGUGCAUGACGUUUUU
rnacentral:SRP_RNA from 1 species